UUGUAUUCAUGCAGUACAUUUGAACAUCAAGGAGUCUUUUAAGUACAUUACACUAAAUAAGGUGUGGUUGGCGCAGUCCGUAUAUAAGCCCACUAAGGAUAACUGAGGAGCAUUACUUGUACAAGCAAGUAACUGCAAAAAUGUUCUUCAGAGUGCUCGCUUUCUUCGUCCUGGUGGCUGUGGCUUUCGCCAACGCCAAGCCUACGCUGCUCUUCCCGGGCAUAUACUAUCCAGACGUUCCCAUCGUGAUAACGAUCCCUCCGGCCGACCACUCCGUGCACCACGAUGCCCACCAACCUAAUAGUUACACUAUUUACCACGUACGUUAAUACAAAUUACUUCGUACUCCGCUUCAACAUGCCUAAUGAUUUAAUAUACAUUUGAACUGAA